rnacentral:rRNA from 1 species
UACAGAGGUCUCAAGCGUUGUUCGGAUUCAUUGGGCGUAAAGGGUGCGUAGGCGGCGCGGUAAGUCGGGUGUGAAAUCUCGGGGCUUAACUCGAAACUCAUUCGAUACUGCCGUGCUUGAGGACUGGAGAGGAGACUGGAAUUUACGGUGUAGCGUGAAAAUGCGUAGAUAUCAGGAGGAACACCGGUGGCAAGGCGGCUACCUGGACAGAAACUGACUGAGGCACGAAAGCUAGGGGAGCAAACAGG